GCAGAACCGAGUCGUAUGUGUGGAGGGACAGUAACUGUGUGUGUAUAUACGAAUCUAUCUGCACUUCUAUGUGCUCCACCUUCAUUGCGGCUCAGCUCGAUAUCGGCAAACAGCCCUAUCUUGAUAAUCUGCCAGAGGAGCCCGAGCACCAGGUGAGGUUUCCCCUCCUUCAGAUCUUGAGCUCCGAUGUUGACGACCUGGCACCCGAUGGCUGAAGCUGAAUUCAGAGCCAA